CACGUAGGGCGCAAGCGUUGUCCGGAAUUAUUGGGCGUAAAGAGCUCGUAGGCGGUCUGUCGCGUCGGAUGUGAAAACCCAGGGCUCAACCUGGCCUGCAUUCGAUACGGGCAGACUAGAAUUCGGUAGGGGAGACUGGAAUUCCUGGUGUAGCGGUGAAAUGCGCAGAUAUCAGGAGGAACACCGGUGGCGAAGGCGGGUCUCUGGGCCGAAAUUGACGCUGAGGAGCGAAAGCGUGGGGAGCAAACAGGAUUAGAUACC
rnacentral:rRNA from 1 species